rnacentral:rRNA from 1 species
CAGUAGCCGCGGUAAAACAGAGGGUGCGAGCGUUAAUCGGAUUUACUGGGCGUAAAGCGUGCGUAGGCGGCUUUUUAAGUCGGAUGUGAAAUCCCUGAGCUUAACUUAGGAAUUGCAUUCGAUACUGGGAAGCUAGAGUAUGGGAGAGGAUGGUAGAAUUCCAGGUGUAGCGGUGAAAUGCGUAGAGAUCUGGAGGAAUACCGAUGGCGAAGGCAGCCAUCUGGCCUAGUACUGACGCUGAGGUACGAAAGCAUGGGGAGCAAACAGGAUUAGAUACCCGAGUAGUCCCUGUCUCUUAUCU